AGGUAAGCUACUAAGAGCGAAUGGUGGAUGCCUUGACUGGUAAAGGCGAUGAAGGACGUACUAGACUGCGAUAAGCUACGGGGAGCUGUCAAGAAGCUUUGAUCCGUAGAUUUCCGAAUGGGGCAACCCAAUGUAUAGAGAUAUACAUUACCUAUAUAGGAGCGAACGAGGGGAAUUGAAACAUCUUAGUACCCUCAGGAAAAGAAAUCAAUAGAGAUUGCGUCAGUAGCGGCGAGCGAAAGCGCAAGAGGGCAAACCCAGUGCUUGCACUGGGGGUUGUAGGACUGCAAUGUGCAAGAGGUAAGUUUAGCAGAACAUUCUGGAAAGUAUAACCAUAGAGGGUGAUAGUCCCGUAUGCGAAAAACAAACCUUAGCUAGCAGUAUCCUGAGUAGGGCGGGACACGAGGAAUCCUGUCUGAAUCCGGGUCGACCACGAUCCAACCCUAAAUACUAAUACCAGAUCGAUAGUGCACAAGUACCGUGAGGGAAAGGUGAAAAGAACUGAGGUGAUCAGAGUGAAAUAGAACCUGAAACCAUUUGCUUACAAUCAUUCAGAGCCCUAUGUAGCAAUACAGGGUGAUGGACUGCCUUUUGCAUAAUGAGCCUGCGAGUUGUGGUGUCUGGCAAGGUUAAGCAAACGCGAAGCCGUAGCGAAAGCGAGUCUGAAUAGGGCGCUUAGUCAGAUGCUGCAGACCCGAAACGAAGUGAUCUAUCCAUGAGCAAGUUGAAGCUAGUGUAAGAACUAGUGGAGGACUGAACCCAUAGGCGUUGAAAAGCCCCGGGAUGACUUGUGGAUAGGGGUGAAAGGCCAAUCAAACUUCGUGAUAGCUGGUUCUCUCCGAAAUAUAUUUAGGUAUAGCGUUGUGUCGUAAUAUAAGGGGGUAGAGCACUGAAUGGGCUAGGGCAUAUACCAAUGUACCAAACCCUAUCAAACUCCGAAUACCUUAUAUGUAAUCACAGCAGUCAGGCGGCGAGUGAUAAAAUCCGUCGUCAAGAGGGAAACAACCCAGACUACCAGCUAAGGUCCCUAAAUCUUACUUAAGUGGAAAACGAUGUGAAGUUACUUAAACAACCAGGAGGUUGGCUUAGAAGCAGCCAUCCUUUAAAGAAAGCGUAAUAGCUCACUGGUCUAGUGAUUUUGCGCGGAAAAUAUAACGGGGCUAAAGUAAGUACCGAAGCUGUAGACUUAGUUUACUAAGUGGUAGGAGAGCGUUCUAUUUGCGUCGAAGGUAUACCGGUAAGGAGUGCUGGAGCGAAUAGAAGUGAGCAUGCAGGCAUGAGUAGCGAUAAUUAAUGUGAGAAUCAUUAACGCCGUAAACCCAAGGUUUCCUACGCGAUGCUCGUCAUCGUAGGGUUAGUCGGGUCCUAAGUCGAGUCCGAAAGGGGUAGACGAUGGCAAAUUGGUUAAUAUUCCAAUACCAACAUUAGUGUGCGAUGGAAGGACGCUUAGGGCUAAGGGGGCUAGCGGAUGGAAGUGCU
rnacentral:rRNA from 1 species